UGAGGGUCCCAACAACCCAUCUCUAUUUCAUAGUGGACAAUCCUUGACUGACAAAACUCUGGGGGGAAAAUAAAGACCAUGAACUCCUCCAUCCAACAUGGCUGGAAUUAUGAGACCAAGUAAGUUGUUGCUCCAUGCUCCUCCUGCACAGUCAGUUUCCCAGGCCUGCCACCCAACCUUCCCUUUCGAAACAGCAAAGAGAGGGUAGAGAUCUACCUUUCUGUACCGGGGAACAGCAGCAGGAGUGACAAUGAAAUAUGUAAUGGGAAACCCCCAACAGAGACAAUGAGGAUGAAUAGGUAGAAAUUGGUGCAUGUUUCGGAAGGUGGCAGCUUGUUGAGUUCAACUCAUAUCAGUUGCAUCUGUGAUACCGUAUGUAUUUGCUGCUUUUAAAAAUCUGUUAGCUGCCACUGUGGGCCAAUAAAGAUUCACAGUAUUUCA
rnacentral:lncRNA from 1 species